rnacentral:lncRNA from 1 species
AAUUAUGGGGAAAAAAAAAUAAUGCUCCUACUGCUGGAACAAUUGCAAGCACAGGCUUACGAUGCCCAGGAGUAGGCCCAUUCCAAUGCCGAAUGACUUUAAGGUCUGAUGCCGUAUCCCAGUCGUUUGGUUCCGUCGUGGAACCGAAACGGCUAGGAUUUCGUCUUCUUUUUUGAUUUAGCCAAAGCUUCCUCGUAAGCUUUGGCUACUUCUUCUUUCUCGGCGAUGGCCUGUUUCUCCUGCUUUUCUUUUAGGCUACGCUCACCCCAAAGGAAAAAACGAAUGUUUUUUUUUUUUUUUUUUGUUAGGGGAGAAAAAUAAAUAAAACAAAUGAAUAAAUAAAUAAAAAUAAUAAGGACGAUCUAGUUUACUUACUCCCUAC